rnacentral:misc_RNA from 1 species
GUCAGUGUAUUUGUUCUAGGAUAAUGAAGCACGAGCAAAAUUUGAUCAUCUUGCAUAAGAGGUGGCUGAUUAGUAUAACCAGAUUCCUUUACCCACUGCCAUGGAUCAGUAGACUCUUGCUGACGAGAAGGCAACAUUGUUGUCCCCAACAAACACAUGACUCUUUCCCCUUGAUUUUUCUUCGAUUCAAUGUAUACUCCUUCAAAAGUCACCGAAAGCUGGGAAUGACCGGGCCAAAUAUCAAAAUGAGGACUUCUCUCAUAUGGUUUACUUGAAAACAAGCCAUCUAGGGUGAUACCAAUCUGCAAUAUCCCACUCACACUCACUGAUUUCUUAGACUGAUGAGCACGAUCAACAUUCGUAACCCAAAAAGAAACUAAGUUCAACGGAGAUCGAAGAUCCGAUGAUCUGUUUGAAAGAUCUCUAUCAUCAAAAGGCAUUAUUGAAG